UGUAUCCUAGCCAUACCCAGGUAGCCCCGCGUGUGCCCAGGUGUGCCCAGGUGUACCCUAGCCAUACCCAGGUGUAUCCUAGCCAUACCCAGGUACCCCCAGGUGCCCCCAGGUGUGCCCAGGUGCGUCACAGGAAGUACCCAGGUACCCCCAGGUGUAUCCUAACCAUGCCCAGGUGUACCCUAGCCAUGCCCAGGUGCCCCCAGGUGCCCCCAGGUGUGCCCAGGUGUGUCACAGGAAGUACCCAGGUGCCCCC